CAAUAGCGUAUAUUAAAGUGUUGCGGCUAAAAGCUCGUAGUUGGAUUUCUGCUGAGGACGACUGGUCCGCCCUCUGGGUGAGUAUCUGGCUCGGCCUUGGCAUCUUCUUGGGGAACGUAGCUGCACUUGACUGUGUGGUGCGGUAUCCAUGACUUUUACUUUUAAGGAAAUUACACUGUUUCAAGCAGGCGCACGCCUUGAAUAUAGUAGCAUGGAAUAAUAAAAUAAACCUUGGUUCUAUUUUGUUGGUUCUAAACCUGAGGUGAUGAUUAAUAGGAAAGAUUGGGGGCAUUCGUAUUUAAUUGUCAGACGUGAAAUUCUUGGAUUUGUUAAAGACGGACUACUGCGAAAGCAUUUGCCAAGAAUGUUUUCCUUGAUCAAGAACGAAAGCUAGGGGAUCGAAGAUGAUUAGAU
rnacentral:rRNA from 1 species